CUUUCGGGCCUUAAAGCCUCUACAUAGCAUUAAUGGGCUUGAAAUGUUUGGGUUAUCUUCUCCCCCCAUUAUGAAGGCGAUUGAGGCUCUCGAUCCAGAGCACAGAUGUUUGGAGUACUGGAGCAGCAAAGGCAACCCAAAUAAUAGAGAUUAGAGAUGCUGCUGACUUUUUUAGGCAAGAACAUGAGGUUGACUUUUGACUUUUUAGUCUUAGUUCUUUUGGUUUCUUAUUAUAGAAAUGAGCAGCAAGUGGUAGAAAAUUGAAGUUAUAGGAUCUUUACCUUUUCUGUUUAGAAAAAUUUCUAGCAUA